rnacentral:rRNA from 1 species
UACGGAGGGGGCAAGCGUUGUUCGGAAUUACUGGGCGUAAAGGGCGCGUAGGCGGUCUGUUGCGUCAGGUGUGAAAGCCCUGGGCUCAACCCAGGAACGGCACUUGAUACGGGCAGACUCGAAUCCGGAAGAGGAUGGUGGAAUUCCCAGUGUAGAGGUGAAAUUCGUAGAUAUUGGGAAGAACACCGAUGGCGAAGGCAGCCAUCUGGUCCGCGAUUGACGCUGAGGCGCGAAAGCGUGGGGAGCAAACAGG